AAAAAAAAAAAAAAAAAAAAAACUUCUCGCCUCUUCUGAUAAGUUCCACUCUCGUCUCUCUUCUUCAACAGUGAUUCCACAACACCCCCCCCACCCCCCGAUUUUUUAGGGUUUUCAAAUUAAUUUCAGCAUUCUCAUUAUUUACUCAUUUGCAUCUCUCUGACACUGUUUUUGUUUCAGUCUCUGAUUUGAGAAAGUUUGAAAAGGGAGCGAGAGCUCCCUGCAUUUUCUGUUUUCUCGGCCGUCGAGUAUUGAGGUGCGGUGGUUGCAUUUUCACUAAAUAAAGGAUGAUAAAAGGGGCAGGAUUGGGAAUCUAUGGGAGUGGCCAAAGCGUGGAGUUUUAGCGAGAUAUCGGCGAACCUGGCACUUUUACACCAACAAAACGGUAACCAAAGCCCCAGCAGAAUCGCCGGAGGCGAGAGCAAGCAUCACCACCACCAUCACUACCGCCAUCAUAGACAUAAUGACUGGUGGCGGAGGUGGAGAUCCCUUGCCACGCAGCAACGCAAGAAGAUCCCGUGGUCGCUAGUUUGCGGGUUAAUGCUGUUCAUUUUGGGAUUGAUUUCGCUUUUCGCUGGACAUGUGGCCUCUGAUCUUGAGUGGUACUCUCAAAGAUUGGUCACACACAGCUUGGGCCGACUGGGUGGGAAUCGGCGUGAACCGAUUGAUAUAUGGAAAUCGAAGUACUCUAAGUUCUUCUAUGGAUGCAGUGAAAGAGGACGUAAUUUUGCUCCUGCCAAACGUGAGCAGUCAUCAAAUGGCUAUUUGCUUAUUGCGGCAAGUGGAGGGCUGAACCAACAAAGAACAGGAAUAAUUGAUGCUGUAGUUGUUGCACGGAUUCUUAAUGCUACAUUAGUUGUGCCAGAGUUGGAUCACCACUCCUAUUGGAAAGAUGAUAGUGACUUCGUCAACAUUUUCGAUGUUAAUUGGUUCAUUUCCUACCUUGCAAAAGAUGUGACCAUUGUCAAAAGAGUUCCUGAUAAAGUCAUGCGAUCAAUGGAAAAACCUCCAUAUACAAUGCGUGUUCCAAGAAAAUCACCCUCUGAAUAUUAUCUAGAUCAAGUUCUGCCUAUACUAUUAAGGAGACGAGUUGUGCAAUUGACCAAGUUCGAUUACAGGCUUGCAAAUGACCUUGAUGAUGAAAAUCUUCAAAAGUUGCGUUGCCAAGUUAAUUAUCAUGCUUUAAGAUUUGCAAAACCCAUACAAGAUAUUGGUCAAAGACUUGUUAUGAAAAUGAGAAAGAUGGCAAAACGAUUUAUUGCAAUUCACUUGAGGUUUGAACCUGAUAUGCUUGCAUUCUCUGGAUGUUAUUAUGGUGGGGGUGAAAAGGAGAAAUUUGAGCUUGGUGAAAUAAGAAAGAGAUGGAAAACGUUACCAGACUUGAGUGCAAAGGAAGAGCGAGCUAGAGGGAAAUGCCCGCUUACCCCUUAUGAAGUGGGAUUAAUGCUGCGUGCUCUUGGAUUUACUAAUGACACAUAUAUCUAUGUUGCAUCUGGAGAAAUAUAUGGUGGAGAAGAUACCCUGCGGCCACUUAGAGAACUCUUCCCAAACUUCUACACAAAGGAGAUGCUUGCUAAUGAAGAAUUGGAACACUUUCUUCCAUUUUCUUCCCGCUUGGCAGCCAUUGACUACAUUGUCUGCGAUGAAAGUGAUGUUUUUGUCACCAAUAAUAAUGGAAACAUGGCCAAGAUUCUUGCAGGUCAAAGGAGGUAUGCAGGGCAUAAGAGGACCAUCAGACCAAAUGCGAAGAGGCUCAGUGCAUUGUUAAUGAAAAGGGAUAAGAUGGACUGGGAUACAUUUGCCAAAAAAGUGAAAUCAUGCCAGAAAGGAUUCAUGGGGGAGCCGGAUGAGAUGAAACCUGGACGAGGUGAGUUCCAUGAAUAUCCAUCUCCUUGCAUCUGUGAGAGGCCAUUGGUUGAUGAAGGAAGCAACCAUGAUGAGGAUCAUCUAUUAGAGCAAGUUCCUGUGAAAUCCAAGGCAAAAGUACCAUCAAAAGUAUAUGAAGGAGAAUAGUGAGAAAAGCAUUGGAAAGUCUAAGAACAGAAGCAUGGGAAAAGCUUCAAUAUAUUCUAAAGAGAUACCUAGGAUGAUGAAAGCCUUCCAUAGGUCAACAGAAGACAUAAGCCCAGGAUAUGGUGGAAGAAUUUAUUCCAUAUGGAUAAAAUUUUCUGAGAUAAUUAUGGCUAUACCAACCCUCGGAUGUGGUGAAAUUUUUACACUCAAAUACGGUGAAUGAGUUCUGUUCAGUUUCUCUGGCUGGAUCAAUGUAGAGAAGGAAGGAUCUUUGACAGGAUACGCUCAUAUUAUGCCAAUUUUAGGAGGUCCUGUUUUUGCCGCUCCUAAGUUGUACGCCGUCUCUUUUAUGCCUCCUCCCCUAUUUGAAGUAGGUUUCUCCUUCCUUUUUUGGAUGGGUCGUGAAAUAUUUUGUGUUUCAGAGUACUGUAAGGGAGGUUUAAUUUUUAAAUAUGCUUUUAUUGUUUGUA